UCCCUGGUGGCUCAGAUGGUAAAGCGUCUGCCUGCAAUGCAGGAGACCCAGGUUCAAUUCCUGGGUGGGGAA
rnacentral:tRNA from 1 species